rnacentral:rRNA from 1 species
AUACGGAGGGUGCAAGCGUUACUCGGAAUCACUGGGCGUAAAGCGUACGUAGGCGGAUCAGAAAGUAUGGGGUGAAAUCCCAGGGCUCAACCCUGGAACUGCCUCAUAAACUCCUGGUCUUGAGUUCGAGAGAGGUGAGUGGAAUUCCGAGUGUAGAGGUGAAAUUCGUAGAUAUUCGGAGGAACACCAGUGGCGAAGGCGGCUCACUGGCUCGACACUGACGCUGAGGUACGAAAGUGUGGGGAGCAAACAGGAUUAGAAACCCUAGUAGUCC